CCUACGGGGGGCAGCAGUGGGGAAUAUUGGGCAAUGGGCGCAAGCCUGACCCAGCAACGCCGCGUGAAGGAAGAAGGCUUUCGGGUUGUAAACUUCUUUUAUGGGGGAAGAGCAGAAGACGGUACCACUUGAAUAAGCCACGGCUAACUACGUGCCAGCAGCCGCGGUAAUACGUAGGUGGCAAGCGUUGUCCGGAUUUACGGGGUGUAAAGGGCGUGCAGCCGGAGAGACAAGUCAGAUGUGAAAUGCACGGGUUCAACCCGUGAACUGCAUUUGAAACUGUUUCCCUUGAGUGUCGGAGAGGUAAUCGGAAUUCCUUGUGUAGCGGUGAAAUGCGUAGAUAUAAGGAAGAACACCAGUGGCGAAGGCGGAUUACUGGACGAUAACUGACGGUGAGGCGCGAAAGCGUGGGGAGCAAACAGGAUUAGAUACCCGAGUAGUC
rnacentral:rRNA from 1 species